rnacentral:rRNA from 1 species
GAUGAACGCUAGCGAUAGGCCUAACACAUGCAAGUCGAGGGGCAGCACAUGAAGUAGCAAUACGGAUGGUGGCGACCGGCGCACGGGUGAGUAACGCGUAUGCAACCUGCCUACAACAGGGGAAUAACUCGUUGAAAGACGGACUAAUACCCCCAUAAUACAGGGAUCCCGCAUGGGAAUAUUUGUUAAAGAUUUAUCGGUUGUAGAUGGGCAUGCGUUCCAUUAGCUAGUUGGUGAGGUAACGGCUCACCAAGGCAACGAUGGAUAGGGGAACUGAGAGGUUUAUCCCCCACACUGGUACUGAGACACGGACCAGACUCCUACGGGAGGCAGCAGUGAGGAAUAUUGGUCAAUGGACGCAAGUCUGAACCAGCCACGUCGCGUGAAGGAAGACGGCCCUACGGGUUGUAAACUUCUUUUGUAAGGGAAUAAAGUGAGCCACGUGUGGUCUUUUGCUAUGUACCUUACGAAUAAGGAUCGGCUAACUCCGUGCCAGCAGCCGCGGUAAA